rnacentral:tRNA from 1 species
AUUCCUCCCACUAGCU